rnacentral:tRNA from 1 species
UGCAAGUAUAGUUUAAUCAAAACA